rnacentral:rRNA from 1 species
CCUACGGGUGGCAGCAGUGAGGAAUAUUGGUCAAUGGGCGCGAGCCUGAACCAGCCAAGUCGCGUGAAGGAUGACUGCCCUACGGGUUGUAAACUUCUUUUGUCAAGGAAUAAAGUGAGGCACGUGUGCCUUUUUGUAUGUACCUUAUGAAUAAGGAUCGGCUAACUCCGUGCCAGCAGCCGCGGUAAUACGGAGGAUCCGAGCGUUAUCCGGAUUUAUUGGGUUUAAAGGGAGCGUAGAUGGGUUGUUAAGUCAGUUGUGAAAGUUUGCGGCUCAACCGUAAAAUUGCAGUUGAUACUGGCAGCCUUGAGUACAGUUGAGGUAGGCGGAAUGCGUGGUGUAGCGGUGAAAUGCUUAGAUAUCACGAAGAACUCCGAUUGCGAAGGCAGCUUACUAAACUGCCACUGACAUUGAUGCUCGAAAGUGUGGGUAUCAAACAGGAUUAGAUACCCGUGUAGUC